AUGUGGCCCGCUUCCAAGUGCGUCUGUGCGCCGGCCACCCACGCCGGGUCCUUCAAGUGCCGCUUCCACCGCACCAACUCCCAGGGCCAGGGAAGCCGCCCUUCUUCGCCCCCUUCACCGGCCGCGGCCAACGCGGUGCCGCGGCACCCGACCUCGCCGCUCUCGUCCUCCGGCACCGUCACGACCCAGUGA
rnacentral:rRNA from 1 species